UCCGGUAUGGUGUAACGGCUAACAUUACCGCCUUUCACCAUCUUGCAGCUGAUCGCGGUAGCUCGGGGUUCGAUUCCCCGUACCGGAA